GUUUUUUGGUUUUUAAGGUUCGUAUACGUGUCAUUCUCUUAUUGGAAGACUAUACAAACAAUUUUUUUUUUCCUUCGUUGCCUUCUCUCCUCCUUGUUUGCUCCGAAGCUCUACGCUUCUCAUCUUCGUCUCCCUUCUGCAAAUGAUGAACUCUCUUCUCAUCAUCGUUUCUCAUAUCAUCAUCGUCUCUCGAUCCGUCACGAUCCCCAUCAAGUUUUAUCACGUCUUCAUCACCGGUAGAUCAAGCGGAAUCGGUGAAAUUAGAUACGUUUCAUGAGCUUGCGGCGAAUGAGAUGAUGCGUUGUGCAGAGCACGGUGGAGAACGGUGCGGAGGCAGUGAGCAAGCCGGAAAAUAAAAAAUGGGGGCAGAAGGUUGGAUACGUGCGAGAUACUUCGGAGAACUUGCGACAACAAAUGGUAAUGUGUCUCUAUACUUCUAUUUGAGACAGAAUAUAAGGGAAACAAGCAAGAUUGAUGUGUGAUAUCUUUAGAAGUGGACUCAAAUGGUUAGAGCUGUAGGCUUGGUAUCAUGAUGGUUGUCGUAUUUUUGGCUGGUUUAGAUAAUAGGAAUGAAGCUAGAUUGCCUUUGGUUGGGGUGUUUGUGGCUACAAGUUUUUGGUUUUUGUUGAGCGCACACAAGGUGUUUGAUAAAAUGUCAAAGAGAAAAACAGAUUGGAUAGAUGCAAAAUUGUUGUUGGCUAAAGAAUGAGUAACAGAUAGCAAGUAGGAUUUAAGUUUAACUUUGCCUUCUAUGUGAGAGCUUUGUGUUGUGUAAUUGUCAUGUUUGUGUGUCUAGGUGUGAUGGAUGUAUGGGUUCUUUCCUCUCCUUAGCUGCGUAUGAUGGCUGCAGCAAUACCAGCAACAACCCCUGAGAAAGAUUUCAAUUCCUUACAAAGUUAUGUAUGCAUGUCACAAUUCAGGCCAAACACAAAAAAUUCUGUACAAGGACAAGCAACGCAAGAGAAUCCAAAAUCCGAUGAAGGAGAUAUUAAAACAAUUGGAAAUUUGUGAUUCGAGGUUCCUGUGCGUGUCAAAUUAGCUAUGUUCUUGUAAUUGUCAUUUUUUGUUUUUUUUUAAGAAACCCACUUAAGAUUCUACCAUUGGGAAAUAAGAUUGAAUAAAAACUCUAAACUUCCAUUUA